rnacentral:rRNA from 1 species
ACUCAAAGGAAUAGACGGGGGCCCGCACAAGCAGUGGAGUAUGUGGUUUAAUUCGAAGCAACGCGAAGAACCUUACCAGGGCUUGACAUCCCUCUGACUGGCAUAGAGAUAUGCCUUCCCUUCGGGGCAGAGGAGACAGGUGGUGCAUGGUUGUCGUCAGCUCGUGUCGUGAGAUGUUGGGUUAAGUCCCGCAACGAGCGCAACCCCUGUUGUUAGUUGCCAUCAUUAAGUUGGGCACUCUAGCGAGACUGCCGGUGACAAAUCGGAGGAAGGUGGGGACGACGUCAAAUCAUCAUGCCCCUUAUGUCCUGGGCUACACACGUACUACAAUGGUGACUACAGAGGGAAGCAAGACCGCGAGGUGGAGCCAAUCCCCAAAGGUCAUCCCAGUUCGGAUUGCAGGCUGCAACCCGCCUGCAUGAAGUCGGAAUUGCUAGUAAUGGCAGGUCAGCAUACUGCCGUGAAUACGUUCCCGGGCCUUGUACACACCGCCCGU